rnacentral:tRNA from 1 species
GGGCCUGUAGCUCAAUCGGCAGAGCAGCGGACUCAUAAUCCGUUGGUUCCAGGUUCA